GGGGUAGUGACGUCACGCUGUGGUGACGUAAGGCCAACUACAAAAAUGAAGCAGUCGUCACAGUACAGAAGCAAAAUAGAAAGAAGCUCAUCAGGUAGACAGACAGGUGGAGAAGACAGAGGCGGAUAAAAAGCAAAAAAAGUUCGAGAUCCCCCCAGUCAAUCAUGAAGAAAGUCGUGAAGAAAGCCCCCGUAAAGAUACCCGAGAUUCAGACCUCGAGACUAGUUCAAGGUAAAGAAGGUGUAUCGGAGUGUGCCUUGACACUCCAGAUCAUCGGGGAUCUCUUAAACUGUGAAUACCAGUUUUUGAGAAAUUGCGGAAAGAAGUGAAAGUGUCAAGAUGGACGAAGAAGACACUUUACCCAAUGUCCGGGUGGGCCAGACAGAUGACCGGCUCUGUCCGUAAGCUUUUGAGCAGAUGGAAUAGAAGACCAUUCAUUAUGGGACUUGCUCAGAGCAUUCUGAGUCGAAAAAGAAAAAAAAAAUGUACACCAUAUUGUGUGAUUUUUUUUGAAGAUGGUAUUUUAACUCUUAUUAAUGGUGACUACGUUUUGUGCUGCAGUUGUUUUUAGCGUGAUGAAGUGACUGUAAGCCGUCACCUUUCCUCUUGUGGGAAGCAGUGGAGUUGUGGACUGGGUGGGGGUGUGGAGCCAUGGAGCAGCCUCUGCCCAAAUCAAACAUCUGUUGGAAGACGUGGCUUUGAAGACCUUGCUUGGCAGGAAUGUGGACGCAGUGUAUGGACGUCCGGCAGAGUUUCCUUUAUAAUAAGGAUUUGAAUUUGUUUUUUGUUACCUUUAUUUAUUGAUACUGUUGGGUGCAUUAUGUAUGAAAAUAAAAUAUAACUUGGGUUGACAAAUACA